rnacentral:rRNA from 1 species
UGAACAGAAGGACAGCCAAGGGCCCUUGUAAGGCGAGGGAUCCUAGCGUUGUUCGGAAUUAUUGGGAGUAAAGCGGAUGUAGGUGGCUUUGUAAGUCAGAUGUGAAAGCCCAGGGAUCAACCCUGGAAGUGCAUUUGAUACUGCGAAGCUUGAGUGUCGGAGAGGUUACUAGAAUUGUUGGUGUAGUGGUGAAAUACGUAGAUAUGAAAAGGAAUACCCGGAGGAGAAGGCGGGUAACUGGAAGAACCCUGACACUGAGGUCCGAAAGCGUGGGGAUCAAACAGGAUUAGAUACGCUGGUAGUCCUCUCCGGAAACGACGGAUACUUGUUAUUUGAGAAA